rnacentral:rRNA from 1 species
GAUGAAUGCUGGCGGCGCGCCUAACACAUGCGAGUCGAACGGCACCCCUCCUCGGAGGGAAGCGAGUGGCGAACGGCUGAGUAACACGUGGAGAACCUGCCCCCUCCCCCGGGAUAGCCGCCCGAAAGGACGGGUAAUACCGGAUACCCCGGGGUGCCGCAUGGCACCCCGGCUAAAGCCCCGACGGGAGGGGAUGGCUCCGCGGCCCAUCAGGUAGACGGCGGGGUGACGGCCCACCGUGCCGACAACGGGUAGCCGGGUUGAGAGACCGACCGGCCAGAUUGGGACUGAGACACGGCCCAGACUCCUACGGGAGGCAGCAGUGGGGAAUCUUGCGCAAUGGGGGGAACCCUGACGCAGCGACGCCGCGUGCGGGACGGAGGCCUUCGGGUCGUAAACCGCUUUCAGCAGGGAAGAGUCAAGACUGUACCUGCAGAAGAAGCCCCGGCUAACUACGUG